rnacentral:tRNA from 1 species
GUGCUUGUGGUGUAGUGGUCAUCACAUUCGCCUUACACGCGAAAGGUCCCAGGUUCAAUCCCUGGCAGGCACA